rnacentral:rRNA from 1 species
AUUGAACGCUGGCGGCAGGCCUAACACAUGCAAGUCGAACGAGUGGCGGACGGGUGAGUAAUGUCUGGGAAACUGCCUGAUGGAGGGGGAUAACUACUGGAAACGGUAGCUAAUACCGCAUACCAUCAGAUGUGCCCAGAUGGGAGUAGCUUGUGGGUGGGGUAACGGCUCACAAAGGCGACGAUCCCUAGCUGGUCUGAGAGGAUGACCAGCCACACUGGAACUGAGACACGGUGCAGACUCCUAGGGGAGGCAGCAGUGGGGAAGAUUGCACAAUGGGCGCAAGCCGGAUGCAGCCAUGCCGCGUGUUGGAAGAAGGCAGUCGGGUUGUAAAGUACUUGCAGCGGUGAGGCGUUACCCGCAGAAGAAGCACCGGCUAACUCCGUGCCAGCAGCCGCGGUAAUUC